rnacentral:rRNA from 1 species
UGCAAGUCGACGGUAACAUAAAGAAGCUUGCUUCUUUGAUGACGAGUGGCGGACGGGUGAGUAAUGCUUGGGAAUCUAGCUUAUGGAGGGGGAUAACUACGGGAAACUGUAGCUAAUACCGCGUAAUAUCGAAAGAUUAAAGUGUGGGACCUUCGGGCCACAUGCCAUAGGAUGAGCCCAAGUGGGAUUAGGUAGUUGGUGAGGUAAAGGCUCACCAAGCCGACGAUCUCUAGCUGGUCUGAGAGGAUGACCAGCCACACUGGGACUGAGACACGGCCCAGACUCCUACGGGAGGCAGCAGUGGGGAAUAUUGCGCAAUGGGGGCAACCCUGACGCAGCCAUGCCGCGUGAAUGAAGAAGGCCUUCGGGUUGUAAAGUUCUUUCGGUAGCGAGGAAGGCACUUAGUUUAAUAGACUAGGUGAUUGACGUUAACUACAGAAGAAGCACCGGCUAACUCCGUGCCAGCAGCCGCGGUAAUACGGAGGGUGCGAGCGUUAAUCGGAAUAACUGGGCGUAAAGGGCACGCAGGCGGAGUUUUAAGUGAGGUGUGAAAGCCCCGGGCUUAACCUGGGAAUUGCAUUUCAUACUGGGAGUCUAGAGUACUUUAGGGAGGGGUAGAAUUCCACGUGUAGCGGUGAAAUGCGUAGAGAUGUGGAGGAAUACCGAAGGCGAAGGCAGCCCCUUGGGAAUGUACUGACGCUCAUGUGCGAAAGCGUGGGGAGCAAACAGGAUUAGAUAC